rnacentral:rRNA from 1 species
GACGAACGCUGGCGGCGUGCUUAACACAUGCAAGUCGAACGGUGAAGCGCCUUCCUUGUUGGUGGGUGUGGAGGAGUGGCGAACGGGUGAGUAACACGUGAGUAACCUGCCCCCUUCUUCUGGAUAACCGCAUGAAAGUGUGGCUAAUACGGGAUAUUCUGGGUCUGUCGCAUGAUGGGUCUGGGAAAGAUAUUGUUUCGGUGGGGGAUGGGCUCGCGGCCUAUCAGCUUGUUGGUGGGGUGAUGGCCUACCAAGGCGGUGACGUGUAGCCGGCCUGGGAGGGUCGGCGGUCACACUGGUGCUGAGACACGGCCAAGACUACGACAGGAAGCAGCAGUGAGGAAUCUUGCACAAGCGGCGCCAGGAUGAUGCAGCGACGCGGCGGGAGGGAUGGUGUCCGGCGCGUUGAGAUCCGCUUUCGCGAGUGAAGCAAUGUUGCCUCGUUUGUGCGUGGGUUGACGGUACCUGGACAGGAAGCGCCGGCUAACUACGUG